GGAAUUGUUCGCAAUGGGCGAAAGCCUGACGACGCAACGCCGCGUGGAGGACGAAGAUCUUCGGGUCGUAAACUCCUGUCGCGCGGGAAGAACAGCGCUCGGAUCAAUACCCCGAUCGCCCGACGGUACCGCUAGAGGAACCCCAGGCGAACUCCGUGCCAGGAGCCGCGGUAAUACGGGGGGGGCAAGCGUUGUUCGGAAUUACGGGGCGUAAAGGGCUCUUAGGCGGCCAACUAAGUCGGUUGUGAAAUCCCUCGGCUCAACCGGGGAAUUGCGACCGAUACUGGAUGGCUAGAAGCCGGGAGAGGGAUGCGGAAUUCCAGGUGUAGCGGUGAAAUGCGUAGAUAUCUGGAGGAACACCGGUGGCGAAGGCGGCAUCCUGGACCGGUCUUGACGCUGAGGAGCGAAAGCUAGGGUAGCAAAC
rnacentral:rRNA from 1 species